rnacentral:tRNA from 1 species
GGGCUGAUAGCUCAAUCGGUAGAGCACCACAUUUGCAAUGUGGAGGUCGGCGGUUCGAUCCCGCCUCAGUCCA